AGGUUAGACUACUCGUUGGUUAUUACUGCAUUGUCGGAACUAGAAGAACAAGCAUUUCGCUACACUCGCAUUAACAUCUGCUAACCAUGUGACCAAUAACAUCUGCUAGCCAUGUGUAUGUGACCAUUAACAUUUGCUAACCAUGUGACAAAUACAAUUCGAUUUAAUAGAAUGCUCUGUUGACUGACUAGUGGUUAGUAAACUGAUCUGUUGUCUGACUGGUUGACUGUGUGUUUGUGGUCCAGAGAUGAACGAGUGUUUUGACCUUGAGCUGGUUCUGACCGGAGGGCGACCAGGUGCGGUCAUAUCCAGACUGCUGUGUCAUGUUCAGCACCAUCACCAACCUGUUGCUCUGGUCAUACAGGUCACCUUCAAGGGUCCGCAGGUGUCUGUGAGUGUUCCCAGUCUUGACCUAGGUCUAAUGCAGCUAGGUGACCAGACCCAGGCCACCAUGGUCCUCACCAACACCACUCAUCUAGAGGCCUUCUGGAGCCUGGGGCCAGAGAAGGCAGAGAGGACAGACAGUCUGGAGUCUGGGAAGGCAGAGAGGACAGACAGUCUGGAGUCUGGGAAGGCAGAGAGGACAGACAGUCUGGAGUCUGGGAAGGCAGAGAGGAACAACAGUCUGGAGUCUGGGAAGGCCAGAAGGACAGACAGUCUGGAGUCUGGGAGGCAGAGGAGACGACAGUCACCACCACAGGUAAACACACUAACAAGUGAGUUAAAGGUAAGUUAAUGUUAAAACACUGAAAAUCACACAUACUGUAAUAUUGAGGUUUGCCUCUGGUCGCCCUGGUAAGUGUUUUUACAACAGUUUGUCCGUUUGUACUGAGACCUGAUAGUCCCAUGUGUUGUCCUCUGUUGUGUGUUUGUCUUCUUCUCCUGUGUUGCUUAGAUCACGUGCAGCCGUUGUAAAGGCAUGCUGCCCCUCUGGCCUCCUGCAGUGUAGACAUCCUCUUCAGACCCCUGUUCUGUCAACACUUUGACACCGUGCUUGAGCUGGCUGUGGAGAAUGGCCAAGGAUGGUGAGGAUUCCACCUAUGCCUUCAACACUAUUUGUACCAAUAGGAAAUAAAUUUAUUAGCUAGCAAGAUCUAUAUCUGUGAACAGCAACCUC
rnacentral:lncRNA from 1 species